CAGUGCGGAGCUAUAAUGCAGUCGAGCGGAUCUUUGGGACUUGCUCUUAAAGAUUAGCGGCGGACGGGUGAGUAACACGUGGGCAACCUGCCUGUAAGACUGGGAUAACUCCGGGAAACCGGGGCUAAUACCGGAUAAUUCAUUUCCCCUCAUGAGGAAAUGCUGAAAGACGGUUUCGGCUGUCACUUACAGAUGGGCCCGCGGCGCAUUAGCUAGUUGGUGAGGUAACGGCUCACCAAGGCAACGAUGCGUAGCCGACCUGAGAGGGUGAUCGGCCACACUGGGACUGAAACACGGCCCAGACUCCUACGGGAGGCAGCAGUAGGGAAUCUUCCGCAAUGGACGAAAGUCUGACGGAACAACGCCGCGUGAGCGAUGAAGGCCUUCGGGUCGUAAAGCUCUGUUGUUAGGGAAGAACAAGUAUCGGAAUAACUGCCGGUACCUUGACGGUACCUAACCAGAAAGCCACGGCUAACUACGUGCCAGCAGCCGCGGUAAUACGUAAGUGGCAAGCGUUGUCCGGAAUUUAUUGGGCGUAAAAGCGCGCGCAGGGUGGUUCCCUUAAGUCUGAGUUGUGAAAGCCCACGGCCUCAACCGUGGAGGGUUCAUUGGAAACUUGGGAACUUGAGUGCAGAAAAAAGAAAGUGGAAUUCCCACGUGUAGCGGUGAAAUGCGUAGAGAUGUGGGAGGAACACCAGUGGCGAAAGCGACUUUUCUGGUCUGUAACUGACACUGAAGCGCGGAAAGCGUGGGGAGCGAACAGGAUUAGAUACCCUGGGUAGUCCCACGCCGUAAACGAUGAGUGCUAAGUGUUAAAAGGUUCCGCCCUUUAGUGCUGCAGCCAACGCAUUAAGCACUCCGCCUGGGGAGUACGCCGCAAGCUGAAACUCAAAGAAUGACGGGGCCCGCCACAAGCGGUGGAACCAUGUGAUUAUUCGAGCACCGCGAGACUACCAGUCUGAAUCUCUGACACUCUAGAAAGACGUUCCCUCAGGAUAGUGACAGUGUGCAUGUGUCUCAGCUGUCCUGAAGUUUGGGUAAGUCGACGAGCACUGACUAGUGCAUCUUGACUUAGUAUGCAGUACAC
rnacentral:rRNA from 1 species